AUGGGAAGGACGACGCUAGCGCCCCGUUUUGUGUUCCAGCGGGCAAAGAGCUCCCUGGCUAUCCCAGGUCAGUGGGGCAGGAGGCCGAGCGUGGAGCGCGGCCGGGGCGCGGGCUGGAUCGGGUUUCCGGAAGGACUUGCUAGGGCCGGCGCGGGUGGGUGUUGCCUGGCCCCGCUCCCCGCUCCACCUCCGGCCUGGCUUCCGCCCGCCGGUCGCGGUCCCCGGGCGAGGGAGGCCGCUAGACUCGGCCUGGAGCGCCCCCUGACGGCUAAUCGGAGUGGGCGCGCCUGCUCGUGGGAGAGCCAGAGGGAGAGCAAGCAGCUAGCACCGGCCAAGCGCGCCGGACGCCCCGGGAUCUGCGCGCAGGUGGACCCCUUCCCGCCGCUGGCGCGCUGCGCCAGUACACGACGGCGGCCCAGAGCCCGGACGCCAAGGCGGCGGCAGCGCAGAGCAAAGGAGCCCGUGGCAGUUCCUGCCGAGAUAGCGCCCAGCGACUGGAAACGAACCAGUCCAGCCCAGCACCAGCACAGACGGCUUUCCUGCCCCACCCGCAGCCCUGCCCUGGGGUCAAGGAGCCCAAGGAGACUGGUGCGUGCAAUAGGUGCAGCGAGAGGCGGAAAAGGGUGGGCAUGAGGGGCCAGGCACCUGGGAGCUUGGGCGGCAGAAGCAGAGGACUUUGAGGAUGGGGUGGUCCGGGGCUUCAGGAGCCACAGGGAACAAGAGAGAGGCACUGAGUCUGGUGACUGGGCUAAGCGGCUUCCAGGCGAGUGAGAAAAGCAGUGGGUAGUGGCGGAGGUGGACAGUGCCAGACAAGCAGCUUCCUGGGAAGGAAAGCUGGAGCAGGGCAGCACAGAGCUGGGUAGGCAAGCUUUCUGGGAGGUGGGUAUGUGGGAUGGGACAAGAAGGAGAGCAACUGGGAAAAAUAAUAGCAUGGCAGUUCCAGGAGGAGGAGGUGGACAGGAGAGUCACAGGAAGGAUAAGCAAAGACCCUGAAACUUUCAAGCAAGAGUGUAUGGGGUGGGGGGGAGGUGGGGCAGGAGGGGACGUGCAGAGGCACAGGCUGGCCUAUGUGGUCUGAGAGGACAGGGAGUGGCUGGGGGCUCAGGGGAGGCUGGGCAGGGCAUGACCAGGAGGCUGCACUGUGGCUCUGCGGAGAGUCCAGAGCGUUGGAGAUGCCAUGUCAGCACUCCUUAGCCUGCAUUUCUC
rnacentral:lncRNA from 1 species